ACGAGGCACUACGGUGCUGAAGCAACAAAUGCCCUGCUUCCAGGAAAAGCCUCUAAGCAUCAGGUAACAUCAAAUCGUACCCCAAACCGACACAGGUGGUCAGGUAGAGAAUACCAAGGCGCUUGAGAGAACUCGGGUGAAGGAACUAGGCAAAAUGGUGCCGUAACUUCGGGAGAAGGCACGCUGAUAUGUAGGUGAAGUCCCUCGCGGAUGGAGCUGAAAUCAGUCGAAGAUACCAGCUGGCUGCAACUGUUUAUUAAAAACACAGCACUGUGCAAACACGAAAGUGGACGUAUACGGUGUGACGCCUGCCCGGUGCCGGAAGGUUAAUUGAUGGGGUCAGCGCAAGCGAAGCUCUUGAUCGAAGCCCCGGUAAACGGCGGCCGUAACUAUAACGGUCCUAAGGUAGCGAAAUUCCUUGUCGGGUAAGUUCCGACCUGCACGAAUGGCGUAAUGAUGGCCAGGCUGUCUCCACCCGAGACUCAGUGAAAUUGAACUCGCUGUGAAGAUGCAGUGUACCCGCGGCAAGACGGAAAGACCCCGUGAACCUUUACUAUAGCUUGACACUGAACAUUGAGCCUUGAUGUGUAGGAUAGGUGGGAGGCUUUGAAGUGUGGACGCCAGUCUGCAUGGAGCCGGCCUUGAAAUACCACCCUUUAAUGUUUGAUGUUCUAACGUAGACCCGUGAUCCGGGUUGCGGACAGUGUCUGGUGGGUAGUUUGACUGGGGCGGUCUCCUCCUAAAGAGUAACGGAGGAGCACGAAGGUUGGCUAAUCCUGGUCGGACAUCAGGAGGUUAGUGCAAUGGCAUAAGCCAGCUUGACUGCGAGCGUGACGGCGCGAGCAGGUGCGAAAGCAGGUCAUAGUGAUCCGGUGGUUCUGAAUGGAAGGGCCAUCGCUCAACGGAUAAAAGGUACUCCGGGGAUAACAGGCUGAUACCGCCCAAGAGUUCAUAUCGACGGCGGUGUUUGGCACCUCGAUGUCGGCUCAUCACAUCCUGGGGCUGAAGUAGGUCCCAAGGGUAUGGCUGUUCGCCAUUUAAAGUGGUACGCGAGCUGGGUUUAGAACGUCGUGAGACAGUUCGGUCCCUAUCUGCCGUGGGCGCUGGAGAACUGAGGGGGGCUGCUCCUAGUACGAGAGGACCGGAGUGGACGCAUCACUGGUGUUCGGGUUGUCAUGCCAAUGGCACUGCCCGGUAGCUAAAUGCGGAAGAGAUAAGUGCUGAAAGCAUCUAAGCACGAAACUUGCCCCGAGAUGAGUUCUCCCUGACCCUUUAAGGGUCCUGAAGGAACGUUGAAGACGACGACGUUGAUAGGCCGGGUGUGUAAGCGCAGCGAUGCGUUGAGCUAACCGGUACUAAUGAACCGUGAGG
rnacentral:rRNA from 1 species